CGAAUAAAAUUGAAGCAGAGUGUUGGAGGAUAGCUCAACGUAUAGACGAGUUUAUGGAGAUUGAUAUGGGAGUUGAGGUAACAGACACAACUGUUCCUCCGGAAAAAAACGCUCCUGCUAGACAUCCUGGAUAAAUGAAAGAGACAUAUCUGGACUUGGCUUUGUGUUAAUGGAUGGUGACUUUCUAAUGAUGUUUGGAGCAAAGGCAGAUAUACACGCACCAAAUCACCACUGCAGGCGGAAGCUGAAGGUUUGCUAUGGGUAAUGCAAGUGAUACUGAAGUUUGGACACAGAGAGAUGGUCUUUCAAUCGACUGUGAACAACUGGUUAUACUCAUUCAAAAGGAGGAAAAUUAACCUGCAUUGGACUCGGAGCUCGACGAAAUACAGGCUGUAUCCAAAGAAUUUUCUGAACUUUCUAUUGCUUAUAUUCCUAGAUCUUUAAAAUUUCGUACGAAUAGCCUAACAAAAGGUGUCCGAUCACGCGCAUCUCGAUCAGCUUUUGUAAACCCUUUUGCACCAAGUUGGCUAGCCC
rnacentral:lncRNA from 1 species